CUCAUUCUCUCUCUCUAUCCAAUAAAUGAAUAAAUUAAAAAAAGAACUGUAAUUUUAGAAGUUCCAGGAAAAAUAACUGUUAAACAUGAAAUAAGAUUAUCUAUGCUUUACUUAAGAUGAGUUCUUUUCUACAACUUAAACCUAGAAAGGUACUUAGGAGUGGCAGGGAUGUAGGCACUGGCAUAAAGCAUAAGGAUGAAUACACACUCCUGGACAAAACCUGCCUGAAAUCUAUUAGUACUUUGUCUCUAUUGGCUCUUUAAUAAAGUAAUUGAUCAAAAUCUCCUCCCUGCAAAAGAAACUCAAACUUCAUAUACUUUGUAAAGAAUUCAAUUAAAAUCUAAAUUAUCUGGAUGAACUAUUUCCCUUCUAUACAUCAGCUUGUGGAUGGCCACCUGUUUAUACUGUACUUAGAAAGCUGCCAAACAAAUAUAUCCUUUCCAGUUGGUGAUAGGAAACAAUUUCCAGGCCAUCACCUUCCACAUUAUGAUUCAUCUUGGCAUUAAUUUUAUUGAAAUAAUAAUGUACUUGGCUCUAGAAUAUCAUUUGCCAUCCAAGGAUCUCCAAGUUCUGGGGAAGAACGUUUUCCAGAUUGAGAGUAUGAAAUCUCUCCUGUCUCUCAUAGAUGAUCACAUAUUGUUUCGAUAAGCAGACCUGAAUGAAUUGAUCUCUGGGAUGGCUGUGCACUAGAAUCACUGUAACUGGUAAUGUUGACUACAAAUCAUAGAACGACAUUCUGUACACUGUGAAUUAAAGAGUUCUAGGCUG